GUGCUCGCUUUGGCAGCACAUACACUAAAAUCGGAAUGAUACAGAGAAAAUUAGCAUGGCCCCCAUACAAGGUUGACACACAAAUUUGUGAAGCGUUCCAUAUUUUU